rnacentral:rRNA from 1 species
UACGUAGGCAGCAAGCGUUGUUCGGAAUUACUGGGCGUAAAGGGUUCGUAGGUGGCCAACUAAGUCAGACGUGAAAUCCCUCAGCUUAACUGGGGAACUGCGUCUGAGACUGGAUGGCUUGAGUGCAGGAGAGGAACGCGGAAUUCCAGGUGUAGCGGUGAAAUGCGUAGAUAUCCGGAGGAACACCGGUGGCGAAGGCGGCGUUCUGGACUGCUACUGACACUGAGGAACGAAAGCCAGGGGAGCAAACGGG